rnacentral:lncRNA from 1 species
CAGCAGUUGAAGUUGGUGACGGAGCCCAGCUCCCGUAGGAGUCCGGGCAGAGUCUGCUUGCGGUCGGAGUUGUGGGUGGAGUCCGGCUCCCGUAGGAGUCCGGAUAAGGUCUGUCUGCAGUCGGAGUCGGGGACGAGGCCCGGCUCCUGUAGGGGUCCGGGCAGAGUCUUCCUGCAAUUAAAGUCAGGGGCGAAAUCUGACUCCCGUAGGAGUCCGGACGAAGCUUACCAGCAGUUGAAGUUGGUGACGGAGCCCGGCUCCCGUAGG